GUGCUCACUUUGGCAGCCCAUUUGCUAAAAUUGGAACAACACAGAGAUGAGCAUGGCCCCUGCACAAGGAUGACAUGCAAAUGCGUGAAGUGUUCCAUAUUUUU
ensembl:snRNA U6 U6 spliceosomal RNA